AGAGUUUGAUCCUGGCUCAGGACGAACGCUGGCGGCGUGCCUAAUACAUGCAAGUAGAACGCUGAAGAGAGGAGCUUGCUCUUCUUGGAUGAGUUGCGAACGGGUGAGUAACGCGUAGGUAACCUGCCUUGUAGCGGGGGAUAACUAUUGGAAACGAUAGCUAAUACCGCAUAACAAUGGAUGACACAUGUCAUUUAUUUGAAAGGGGCAAUUGCUCCACUACAAGAUGGACCUGCGUUGUAUUAGCUAGUAGGUGAGGUAACGGCUCACCUAGGCGACGAUACAUAGCCGACCUGAGAGGGUGAUCGGCCACACUGGGACUGAGACACGGCCCAGACUCCUACGGGAGGCAGCAGAAGGGCGAAUUCGU
rnacentral:rRNA from 1 species